GUAUUUAGUAGAAAGACAAUCCUUUUUUUCCCAGUCAAUUUUUUCUUUGAUCUACAGAACUUGCUUCUUUUCUCUGAAGUUGUUCACAAUACAGCAUGAUAGAAGGAGCACAGAGUGCCAAAGGCAGGGAACUCCAGUGCUUCACUAGUGACUCAUAAGAAAACUUAAUAGAAGGUCCUAGUGCCCACUAGCCCUCCAGUACCUGAUUGACGUGGUCCCAAACUAAAGUAGCCUAACCUUCAUUGAACCAAGCACUUCAGAGGCAUGGGAAGAGGUAUGGGGAAGGAGUCCUUGCACUCUGGCAAUGAGGGAAUUUCAAUUAACUGUCCAAAUCCAACCAAAUCUGGUAGAGACAACAACUAGUAAUAGUGUUAUCAAAGGACUCAAACAGGCCUACUGAAUCAGAAGUUUCAGGAGCGGAGCCAGCCACCAUUUUAAAUAAACCUUCUGGAUAAAUCUGAUGGAUUCAAGUUUGAGAACCACCCAUCUUGCUAAUAAAUGCUAAAGAGUACUUCGUGGAUUACUGUCAUCUUAGGUGCCAGGUCUCAAAGAAAGCAGACAUUUCUAGGUGAGGAAUAGAGAAAGGACAUUCUCUGUGAGGGGAGCAACCUGUGAAAAGGCAUUGGGUCUAAAUGACAUUGAAAUCAGUCCCUCACUAUUUAAUUUAUAUAGUCUUUAUUACUUGAAAGAGCCUCUCUGAGCACCACCAAGUGUCAGUUCCUAAUCAGGGAAUUCAGUGAAAAUCCUUUUCCUCGUAAAAAUUUUAUCUGAGGUUGCUAGAAAAUAUAGUGUUUCAAAAUAUGAUGCCAAAAUACAGUAAUUCAAAAACCCCAAUUUUAUAAAUGUUUGUAAUGUUGAUAUGUAUAAAUUCAAGUAAUAAUUAUUGUUGCUAAUUCUAUAUUUACUUGGAGACUAUGAACAAAUCAGAAUUUUCCAGAUACUUGUAGUACUGUAACAUUUCCUACAAGAGCUUAACCUAUGCCUAAUACAUGAUAAGUAUUUAACAAAUAGUAGCAAAUAUAAUUUGUAUUAUUUCAAAAGCACUGACCAUUCCCUUGGUGCAUUUUGAAGAGUGUCACAGGGGCUCUGUGAUUCAUAGCUAGUGUUCUAAGUAAUCUCUUCCAUUUAGGUAGCAUGCAUUUGCAUACCAUAAAAGUAGAGCAUGAUUAAUUGCAUUGGUCAUAAGCCCUAAUAAAGUGCUAUUUUGGAAUAAAUAUGGCCUGUCUGUAAAGGUAUUAUUAAAUGCCACACUUUCUUCUUUCUCAAAAGUAAAAGAUAGAUAUUACCUGUCUAACUUCCCCCUAGAUGGGCUGGAUUAGACACUUAUAAGGGGAGCAUAAUGCUGAGACAAGGUCUACAACGCCAGAAAGGUUAAACUGGCUGUCAGGUAUGGGGAUAUAAGUUCAAGAUUAGAGAUAAAAUAUGAAGGCAAAUAAAGACAGAAAAUGAGGGAGAUAUGAAGAGUUAAGCAGGACCAAGCUGAGUCAGCCCAGGAUUAGGUGAACUGAGCUGGACUUCUCUUCUCACCAUCCCAGAGCUCCACCCUGAUGACUGGUUUUGACAAAAUGCUUUGCUUAGGAUCUGAUGCACACUCUCUUCCACUUCUGAAACCAACUCCUGUUUAAUUCAGGUUUCAAGAAAUUUCAAAACAAAAAUUUCACACUUCAGUGCAGGAAGGUGAUCCUGAAAUGGACUAACUUUUCGAUUUCUGUCAAAAGCAUCAUUAUGGGCUCAAGAUUUUACAAUUAUAUGAUCAAUUCUCUUUCAUUAACCACACUUCCCUUUUCACUUCUUUUUUUUUUUUUUGAGAUGGAGUUUUGCUCUUGUCACCCAGGCUGGAGUGCAAUGGCGCUAUCUCUGUUCACUGCAACCUCCGCCUCCCAGGUUCAAGCGAUUCUCCUGCCUCAGCCUCCCAAGUAGCUGGGAUUACAAGCCUGUGCCACCACACCCAGCUAAUUUUUGUAUUUUUAGUAGAGAUAAGGUUUCCCCACAUUGGCCAGGCUGGUUUCAAACUCCUGACAUCAGGUGAUCUGCCCACUACUGCCUCCCAAAUUGCUAGGGUUACAGGCUUGAGCCAGUGCACCCAGCCUCCAUAUUGUUUUUAAUUUGGUGAACUGCAUUACAUUUUUUAGUAUAAACAAUGAAGAGUAUAGAAAACUUAUGAUGCAGUUAUGUUACUCAGACAUCAGGCUGGGACCCACCCAUGGUCUAGGAAGUUGAGUGGUAACCACCUACUGUUAAAGUUUUUCGUGCCAAAAUGAUCUUUUUCAUAAAGUACUGUACAGAAAUCUGAGGUUUCAAUUUGUUUACUUUUCAAAAACUUUUAACAGAUUCAAAACUCUCUUGUGAAGAAAGCUGUGGCCUGAUUGCAAAUAUCUUUGGGGGUUACUUCUGUGAAACAGGGUGAUUGCCCUCUGUCUGGGCAAGAGAGAAAGUCAGCCUGUCAACUUUGAAAGCACAAUGCCAAUGCAACCUCCAGUUCAGCUUGUCUCUAAAACAUACAAAUCCCUUUGUAAUCAAUACUACAGCACUCAGGCACUAAUUUCACAAUAGAACUAUGAAGAAGUUGUAAUGCAGCAUUUUUCAAAGACUGCUUGGAACGUCUAAUAUUAACAAAAAUAGCGUAGUAGCCAUGUCAAUCUUUUAAUUCUCUAGAUUCAAUAAACUUAUCCUGAUAUUUAGAUAGCCAGAAAUAAGAUACCAGUGUAAUAUUGUUUAAACUAUCCUUAGGAAUCUGUUCAUGAGCAUAUCAGUUAAACACUAAAUGAUGCAAGAUGUGGUAGACACCAUGCUGGGUACCUUGGAAUAUCAGAGGAAAAGGAAAUGCAAAUCAUUUACAAUGGCAAGUUCUGACUACAACUCCUCGAGAGGGUUAACAGCAAAAAUUUUCAUACAUAGAAUAUUAGUGUAUGUUUUAAAAUCAGUAUUAACUAGCAUUAACAUGUAUUUUAGAAUGAAUGUUGAAAAAAAAGCACAAUAUUUCUUAUUCUUAUUUUUUAUCCUACAGACUAAUAAAUAUUGAUUGACUUCCAUGUAUAAUAGAAAUAUGAUGGGAAACCAGGUAGGGCAGGUAGUCCCUAUCUCGAAGAAAAAUACACCAAAGGAAUCUUAGGAAGACUGCAAUUAAAGACAUAGCCAUAUAAAGCUUUAAGACCAUUUGAAAAAUUGUAAAAUAAUCAAGUUCCGAUAAUGAAGCCUGAAGAAAAUAAUGGGAAAUCCUUUACACCUAAAAAUGUAGCCUAUUGGAAGCUAUUCUUUUUAAGGGCAUAAUUUAUCUUUUAUCUUCCUGCUACUAAUACUUCUUCUAAAAAGACUGAAAACUUCAUAUAAUUUCUUCUUGUUGGCAAUGAUGAUGACUUUAUUUCUCAAAAUACAACUAUUUAAAUAAGUCAAAUGAUGAGAAAUUCUUUACUAACCCUAUUUCUUGUUAAGUGACAUAAAAUGCAGAAGUCAUUCCACAUAAUGAUAUCAUCAGGUCACCUCUAUUUCUCUACUCUUUUUUUUAAUUUGAGACAGUCUCACUCUGUCACCCAGGCUAGAGUUCAGUGGUGUGAUCUCGGCUCACUGCAACCUCCUCCUCCCAGGUUCAAGUGAUUCUCCUGCCUCAGUCUCCCAAGUAGCUGGUACUACAGGCACGUGCCACCACACCCAGCUAAUUUUUUGUAUUUUUAAUAGAGAUGGGGUUCCACUCUUUUAGCUAGGAUGGUCUCUAUCUCCUGACCUCAUGAGCUGCCCACCUGAGCCUCCCAAAGUGCUGGAAUUACAGGCAUGAGCUACCGUGCUUGGCCUCUCUACUCCUAUUUUUUGUCGUGAAUUUAUAUUGUCCAUCUUUAUGUUACCUUCCUCACUGUAUGUGGUUUCAAACCUCCAAAAACAGUUUUGGGAAGAAGCAAAGCAUAGCAAACUUUAUUAAAGAUGAGCAAACAUGUGGAAAUUAGAUUUCCACAUAUUAGGUGGAAAUUCUCCAUUCCAUAUUAAGUGUAGUUAUUUUCUUAAUUCCAUAUGAAGUGCAGUUAUUUCCAUAUGAAGUGUAGUGGUAACCUACAACAUUCACAGAGCAUAUUACCUAUGCCUUUUAAGAGCAACCACCACCCAUUAUAUAUGUAUGUAUAUUUUUGUGUAACCUGUGAAAAACUCUGUUAGAACCAACAUCAGUUUUCCACUUCCUCUUUGUUAACAAAGAGACUUGAUCAUGAUUUGGUGAUGUAGGUUUUGUGAGGGGCAAUGCAUGGAGGCCAUGGCAGUGUAUCAUGUAUAUUGUGUCCUCAUUCUUUAUAUUCAUAGCCUUCAUUUCAGCUGGGGCUGCACGUAUGAUCCAGUUUUUGCUAAUAAUGACGGAGGAAAUCUGAUGAGAGAAUUUCUGAAAAAGCUUUUUCUUUCUUAUAAAAAGCUCACAGAAUUGUCAGGCACUUCCUUUCCUCCUACCUUCCUUUAUUAAAAGGCCAUGUCAAAGAUAUGGCAGAUAUUUUGUGAUGAUGAGACAUUACCCAAGAAGAUGGAAGCCAACAGCUUCAGAAUGCUAGAGAAAAGUUCAAGAUCCCAGAUGUCAGUGGGUGGCAGAAAUGGGGAGAUGUCAAUGGGUAUACACGUCCAAUUAUUAGAUGAGUUGUUCUGGGGAUCUGAUGUACAGC